UACGUAGGGUGCAAGCGUUGUCCGGAAUUAUUGGGCGUAAAGAGCGUGUAGGCGGUUUGGUAGGUCCGCUGUGAAAACUCGAGGCUCAACCUCGAGACGCCGGUGGAAACCAUCAGGCUAGAGUCCGGAAGAGGAGAGUGGAAUUCCUGGUGUAGCGGUGAAAUGCGCAGAUAUCAGGAAGAACACCCGUGGCUAAGGCGGCUCUCUAGUACGGUACUGACGCUGAGACGCGAAAGCGUGGGGAGCGAACAGG
rnacentral:rRNA from 1 species